GACGUAGGGCGCGAGCGUUGUCCGGAAUUACUGGGCGUAAAGAGCUCGUAGGUGGUUUUGUCACGUUUGUUCGUGAAAAACCCCACAGCUCAACUGUGGGCGUGCGAGCGAUACGGGGCAGACUAGAGUACUGCAGGGGGAGACUGGAAUUCCUGGUGUAGCGGUGGAAUGCGCAGAUAUCAGGAGGAACACCGGUGGCGAAGGCGGGGUCUCUGGGGCAGUAACUGACGCUGAGGAGCGAAAAGCGUGGGGGAGCGAACAGG
rnacentral:rRNA from 1 species